ACAAGAACCGGUCUACACGACCUGAACCGGAGUAGAACCGGAAAAACCGGACUUGUACCGAACCGGAACCGGCUUGACCGGUACAGACACCGGUUCUGAAAUUUGAGAACCGGACUAGACCGGUACAGACACCGGUUCUUGGGGAGAACCGUACUUGAACCGGACCAUUUGUACCGGCUGUUAUUAGCCGUUGAGAUCUAUCUAGGUUUUUAAUCCUAGCCGUUGAGAUCUAUAUAGGAUGUCGAGAACAAAAGAAAAUGAAGAAGCAUUCUUCAGUUCUUUCUUCUUCGUCUCUUCUUCUCACUCAGCGGCAGCAUCAGUUUCUCGAUUCUCUUAGGGUUUGAAUCGAGAUUGAAUAUCAGUAAUAUCAGUGGAUCACCAUCUCUAUCAGGAUUCAGAUAUUGAGAAGAUUAGUCCAAAGGCCAAAGCAGAGAAGAAGGAAGAAUUAGAUUUUUGGGGUUCUCAAGUACUGCACAAUGGCUUGUGGCUGAACCGCUGAACGCUUAAGGAUCGUGAUUUGUUUCAGGGCAGCAGGUGUUACAAAAUACCCAUUAAAGACUUAAAGUACUUCAGA